rnacentral:rRNA from 1 species
GACGAACGCUGGCGGCGUGCUUAACACAUGCAAGUCGAACGGAAAGGCCCUGCUUUUGUGGGGUGCUCGAGUGGCGAACGGGUGAGUAACACGUGAGUAACCUGCCCUUGACUUUGGGAUAACUUCAGGAAACUGGGGCUAAUACCGGAUAGGAGCUCCUGCUGCAUGGUGGGGGUUGGAAAGUUUCGGCGGUUGGGGAUGGACUCGCGGCUUAUCAGCUUGUUGGUGGGGUAGUGGCUUACCCAGGCUUUGACGGGUAGCCGGCCUGAGAGGGUGACCGGCCACAUUGGGACUGAGGUACGGCCCAGACUGCUACGGGAGGCAGCAGUGGGGAAUAUUGCACAAUGGGCGGAAGCCUGAUGCAGCAGCGCCGCGUGCGGGAUGACGGCCUUCGGGUUGUAAACCGCUUUCGCCUGUGACGAAGCGUGAGUGACGGUAAUGGGUAAAGAAGCACCGGCUAACUACGUG